CCUUCUAUCACCAAAGUAUCCGCCUGAGAACUACGAGCACAAACGCUUAAAACUCUAAGGACUUGGCGGUGCCCCAGACCCACCUAGAGGAGCCUGUUCUAUAAUCGAUAACCCACGAUGCACCCGACCGCCCCUUGCCAAAACAGCCUAUAUACCGCCGUCGCCAGCCCACCUCCCCUGAAAGAACAACAGUGGACAUAAUAGCCCCAACCCCGCUAACAAGACAGGUCAAGGUAUAGCCUAUGGGGCGGAAGAAAUGGGCUACAUUUUCUAAGAUAGAUAACUUCACGGAAGGGGACAUGAAAUUGCCCCCGGAAGGCGGAUUUAGCAGUAAGGUGGGACAAUAAGCCCACUUUAAGCUGGCCCUGAGGCACGUACAUACCGCC
rnacentral:rRNA from 1 species